CAGCAGCCGCGGGAAUACGUAGGUGGCAAGCGUUGUCCGGAAUUAUUGGGCGUAAAGGGCUCGCAGGCGGUUUCUUAAGUCUGAUGUGAAAGCCCCCGGCUCAACCGGGGAGGGUCAUUGGAAACUGGGAAACUUGAGUGCAGGAGAGGAGAGUGGAAUUCCACGUGUAGCGGUGAAAUGCGUAGAGAUGUGGAGGAACACCAGUGGCGAAGGCGACUCUCUGGUCUGUAACUGACGCUGAGGAGCGAAAGCGUGGGGAGCGAACAGGAUUAGAUACCCCCGUAGUCCCUGUCUCUUAUAC
rnacentral:rRNA from 1 species